GGCCGACUAGCUCAGUUGGUUAGAGCGUGGUGCUAAUACCUUCGUGGUACGCCAAGGUCGUCGGUUCGACCCCGGCGUUGGCCA
rnacentral:tRNA from 1 species